AUAUAUUUGCCAUCGCCGAGGCCGAGACCAAAUGCACAAUAGUGGAUGCCGGCACACGAAAAUAAAAGCGGUGCCAAAAACGUCAGACGACUGACCAAAACAUUGCCAUAUGUUUUAUAACUCUGCGUCGCCUCCUGGCCGCAAUAAAUAAAUCCGUGUGCACAAACCCAUCCAAUGCCACACACUCCCCAACCCCAAGCCCAUGCCGUGCAACCAAUCGAAACGUAACGCUGCCACGUCAAAUUGAUUGCCACAAUAUUUGAUUGACUUUGACAUGCUGGCUGUCAUAAAUUUCCUAGUGUGUCUCCUCGACUGCCAUAGCUCCUUCGCUUCUAAGGCGAUCUUGAUCUCGUCAUGUGUGGCCAUAAAACCGAUGCGCAUAUUUCAACUAAAACUGUCGGAGCCAGAUCAAGGGACUUUGGCAAUAUUUAUGACGCAAAAAUAAUAAUAAUAACAAUUGAUUGUAACAAGUACUUGUACGCUGCGACAUGGCUUACUCUUCUUACUGGCACAUAUCUUUUUCUAGUUCUCUAUGGAAGCCCUAUGAUAGUCUUCCGAUUGAAUAGGGUAUAAAAUAAAUGUGACUUGAAUAGGAAAACUAGUAACUAUGCAAAAGGUUUAUCAAGGAAGAAUGAGAUUUCAUACAAUAACUUAAUAUUUGAACGAAGGUAAUUAAGAAAAGCAGAGAUGAGCUCCAGCCAAGUCAAUCUGUUCAAAAAUAUUGAACUUAACCCUCAAAAUCGCCUUCCUCUAUGAGUCGCACUUUUCAUGAGUAACUUAUAAUGCAGACAUAUAAAAAUA